UACAGAGGGUGCAAGCGUUGUUCGGAAUUAUUGGGCGUAAAGCGCGUGUAGGCGGCAGUGCAAGUCGGGUGUGAAAGCCCUCGGCUCAACCGAGGAAGUGCGCUCGAAACUGCAUUGCUUGAGUACCGGAGAGGAUGGCGGAAUUCCCGAAGUAGAGGCGAAAUUCGUAGAUAUGGGGAGGAACACCGGUGGCGAAGGCGGCCAUCUGGACGGAUACUGACGCUGAGACGCGAAAGCGUGGGUAGCAAACAGG
rnacentral:rRNA from 1 species